rnacentral:pre_miRNA from 1 species
UGGACAGAUUAUUGUAUUCGACUGUAUUCGACUGUAUUCACGGCGUGAAAGGGGAUUACACUAUUUUUAAAAUGGAAAAUGAAUCAAUUAACAUAAUAGACUCUU